rnacentral:rRNA from 1 species
AUGGUGUUGCUUGACAUUAGGGGUAUGUUGCAGUCCAUGGGCAAAGACAUAGCUGAUUUCGCUCUUCCAUGCAUUGACGAUGCGUUCGACCCAAACGAGGGCGAGGCCAGAGAAGUGAUCGAGGAAUCCAACAUCGAUUUUGACAUCAAUGACACUAAAUUGGCAUCAUCGCUAAACUUGGAGCAGAGGGUUGCAUACGACGAGAUACUAGCUGCUGUUGAACGCGGUGAUGGGGGUGUGUUCUUUGUUGAUGGCCCGGGAGGUACAGGGAAGACCUUCCUGUAUAGGGUGCUGCUCGCCAAGGUUCGAAGCGAGGGAAACAUCGCUGUCGCUACCGCGACGUCAGGUGUCGACGCUUCUAUCAUGCCUGGAGGCAGGACUGCCCACUCGAGGUUCAAGAUCCCAUUGAGCUGCGACGAUGGCGCCUCAUGCACCUUCACGAAGCAGAGUGGUACCGCCAAGCUACUGAGGAUUGCCUCAUUGAUACUAUGGGACGAGGCCACCAUGACUAAGCGACAGGCGGUCGAGGCACUCGACAACAGCAUGCGCGACAUCAUGGGAAGACGGGACCGACCCUUUGGAGGAAAAACUGUUGUGUUUCGCGGGUACUUCAGCAGGUGCUUCCAGUCGUCAGGAGGGGGUCCCGUGGUCAUAUAA